rnacentral:rRNA from 1 species
CCGGUUGAUCCUGCCGGACCCUACUGCUAUCGGGGUGGGACUAAGACAUGCGAGUCGAGCGUCUGCCAAUUGGAGACGCGACAGACGGCUCAGUAACACGUGGCUAACCUGCCCUCAGGCCGGAGACACCCCCGGGGCACUGGGGCGAAUAUCCGGUGGGCGAGGAGGCCUAGUAUGGCUCCUCGCCGAAACAGACGUUGAAAACAUGUUUUCAACGUCGCCUGAGGAUGGGGCCGCGUCCGAUCAGGUGGUUGGUGAGGUAAUGGCUCACCAAGCCUAUAACCGGUACGGGCCGUGAGAGCGGGAGCCCGGAGAUGGGUACUGAGACAAGGACCCAGGCCCUACGGGGCGCAGCAGUCGCGAAAACUCCGCAAUGCACGAAAGUGUGACGGGGCUACCCCGAGUGCCAUCCGCUGAGGAUGGCUUUUCCUUGGUAUAACUAGCCGGGGGAAUAAGGAGAGGGCAAGACUGGUGUCAGCCGCCGCGGUAAUACCAGCUCUCCGAGUGGUAGGGAUGAUUAUUGGGCUUAAAGCGUCCGUAGCCGGCUUAGCAAGUCUCCUGUUAAAUUCAACGACUUAAUCGUUGAGCCGCGGGAGAUACUACUAGGCUAGGAGGCGGGAGAGGUCGACGGUACUUCUGGGGUAGGGGUGAAAUCCUAUAAUCCCGGGAGGACCACCAGUGGCGAAGGCUGUCGACUAGAACGCGCUCGACGGUGAGGGACGAAAGCUGGGGGAGCGAACCGGAUUAGAUACCCGGGUAGUCCCAGCUGUAAACGAUGCGGGCUAGGUGUUGGAGUGGCUACGGGCCACUUCAGUGCCGCAGGGAAGCCAUUAAGCCCGCCGCCUGGGGAGUACGGCCGCAAGGCUGAAACUUAAAGGAAUUGGCGGGGGAGCAC